GUUCAGUGAUGUAUUGCCAAUACAUCAUUCUGAAGAAAACUAUGUGGUGACUUCCUGUGACUGAGCAUA
ensembl:snoRNA SNORD63 Small nucleolar RNA SNORD63